rnacentral:rRNA from 1 species
AUUGAACGCUGGCGGCAGGCCUAACACAUGCAAGUCGAACGGUAACAGGAAACAGCUUGCUGUUUCGCUGACGAGUGGCGGACGGGUGAGUAAUGUCUGGGAAACUGCCCGAUGGAGGGGGAUAACUACUGGAAACGGUAGCUAAUACCGCAUAACGUCGCAAGACCAAAGAGGGGGACCUUCGGGCCUCUUGCCAUCGGAUGUGCCCAGAUGGGAUUAGCUAGUAGGUGGGGUAACGGCUCACCUAGGCGACGAUCCCUAGCUGGUCUGAGAGGAUGACCAGCCACACUGGAACUGAGACACGGUCCAGACUCCUACGGGGGCAGCAGGGGGGAAUAUUGCACAAUGGGCGCAAGCCUGAUGCAGCCAUGCCGCGUGUAUGAAGAAGGCCUUCGGGUUGUAAAGUACUUUCAGCGGGGAGGAAGGGAGUAAAGUUAAUACCUUUGCUCAUUGACGUUACCCGCAGAAGAAGCACCGGCUAACUCCGUGCCAGCAGCCGCAGUAA